rnacentral:rRNA from 1 species
CCUACGGGAGGCAGCAGUAAGGAAUAUUGGUCAAUGGACGCAAGUCUGAACCAGCCAUGCCGCGUGAAGGAUUAAGGCCCUCUGGGUUGUAAACUUCUUUUAUAGGGGACGAAAAAAGGGCAUUCUUGCUCACUUGACGGUACCCUAGGAAUAAGCACCGGCUAACUCCGUGCCAGCAGCCGCGGUAAUACGGAGGGUGCAAGCGUUAUCCGGAUUUACUGGGUUUAAAGGGUGCGUAGGUGGGUUGGUAAGUCAGUGGUGAAAUCUUCGAGCUUAACUCGGAAACUGCCAUUGAUACUAUCAAUCUUGAAUCAUCUAGAGGUAAGCGGAAUAUGUCAUGUAGCGGUGAAAUGCUUAGAUAUGACAUAGAACACCAAUUGCGAAGGCAGCUUACUAUGGAUGCAUUGACACUGAGGCACGAAAGCGUGGGGAGUCAAACAGGAUUAGAUACCCUGGUAGUCCACGCCCUAAACGAUGGAUACUCGACAUUGUGAUAUACAUAAGUGUCUGAGCGAAAGCAUUAAGUAUCCCACCUGGAAGUACGACCGCAAGGUUGAAACUCAAAGUGAAUUAGACGNGAGAGAGAGACGACGACGACGACGGAGGAGGAGG